rnacentral:rRNA from 1 species
AAUGAACGUUGGCGGCGUGGAUUAGGCAUGCAAGUCGUACGAGAAUCGUAGCAAUACGAGGAAAGUGGCGGAAGGGAGAGGAUUACGUAGGAAUCUACCCUCAGAACUGGGAUAGCGGCGGGAAACUGCCGGUAAUACCAGAUAAUGUCUGUGGACCAAAGGUGUGAUUCCGUCUGGGGAUGAGCCCACGUCCUAUUAGCUAGUUGGCAGGGUAAUGGCCUACCAAGGCAAUGAUGGGUAGCGGGUGUGAGAGCAUGACCCUCCUCACUGGGACUGAGAACUGCCCAGACAACUACGGGUGGCUGCAGUCGAGAAUCUUCGGCAAUGAGCGCAAGCUUGACCGAGCGACGCCGCGUGCGGGAUGAAGGCCUUCGGGUUGUAAACCGCUGUCGUAGGGGAGCAAGAGAUGAGGGUACUCCCUCUGAUUUGAGCGAUCCUAGGAGGAAGGACGGGCUAAGUUCGUGCCAGCCGCCGCCGUAAAAC